CUGGGUCUUAGCCUUGGCUGGGUCCUUCUCGUAGGCGUAGAGUUUGGGGGUUUGCCCGAUUUUUUGGACGGCUGUGAUAAGUACCUGAGGUUCUGCUGUGCCGGAGACCAAGAUGAGACCCUUGGUCGGGACUAUGGGUUUCUGACCAAAAGGAGGGCGAGGACACGUUAGAGGAGGGAUGAUACUGAACGGUUUACAGCUUGAUGUGGGAGACGCGGAGGCGAGCUUGGUCUGGUUUUGCUGCAUUUCUCCUGUUAGAUUUCGAUUCAGUCCCAUCAGAAAAAGAAGCUGACAAAAUGCAACAAACAUGAACAAAGAACAGUAAGUGUAUGUUCCAAAUAUUGAACCUCCUUGGAACUUGGAAGAUCUCAUUGGUUCUCCUAUUUGCCGAUAUAUAUUUUUCUCUUACCUUUUGGAACAAACGAGCACGAUUAAUCUAAAGAGAGUAUUCGCAACAAAGGUCAAAAAGUGAAUAGAAACUCCCUCUGGAAUUUUUUGUUCUUUAUUAAUCUCAAACUUAUCAAAGAGAGUUUAGCAAAAAGGAAAUUCUCAGAUCCAAAUACUCUGUUUUUUUUUUCCGUUUCAGGGAAAAACUUGU